rnacentral:rRNA from 1 species
AGUGAACGCUGGCGGUAGGCCUAACACAUGCAAGUCGAACGGCAGCACAGUAAGAGCUUGCUCUUACGGGUGGCGAGUGGCGGACGGGUGAGGAAUACAUCGGAAUCUACUUUUUCGUGGGGGAUAACGUAGGGAAACUUACGCUAAUACCGCAUAUGACCUACGGGUGAAAGCAGGGGAUCUUCGGACCUUUCGCGAUUGAAUGAGCCGAUGUCGGAUUAGCUAGUUGGCGGGGUAAAGGCCCACCAAGGCGACGAUCCGUAGCUGGUCUGAGAGGAUGAUCAGCCACACUGGAACUGAGACACGGUCCAGACUCCUACGGGAGGCAGCAGUGGGGAAUAUUGGACAAUGGGCGAAAGCCUGAUCCAGCCAUACCGCGUGAGUGAAGAAGGCCUUCGGGUUGUAAAGCCCUUUUGUUGGGAAAGAAAAGCAGCAGGUUAAUACCCCGCUGUUCUGACGGUACCCAAAGAAUAAGCACCGGCUAACUUCGUG